GACUCUGAUGCAUGCUCAAGUUUGAGAACUGCUGCUGUAGGAAUUCAGGAUACAGAGGGACCAGGAGAAGCCUGUUGGGGGAUCUGAAAUACGAGUCCUUUAGAAUCAUUGAAAUUUGGAUAGAAGAAAAGGCAAAAGUGAGUUCAGGGAAGGGCAACAGCAUGAGCAAAGACAUGGAGAUGGGACAAUUCGGCAUGUGCUAGCACAGAGGGCAAACCAGCCAGAUGGAACAGAGAACAAAUGCUGGGAAGAGCAGGAGCUCUAGGCGCAUGGGGAGGGUCUCAAACGCCAAGCACAGCCUGGCCUUGACGGAGCAGGCCCCAAGGAAUCAGUGCAGGUUUUUGAGCAAGAGAGUGACAGCAAUCCAGCGCCUCUUUUAGACCUGCCAACCAUGCCUUUUCUCAGGUCGCACUGUGCUCCUAACUCAGACGAAUCUCUUCAUUCCCGGGCAUCCUCUAACGCUGAGGAGACCCCUGCUAGGAAGCAAGGCGACUACGAGGCAUACCCAGCAGGGCGCCGGGAAGGUGGGCCGGCGGCAGCAGCCAAACCCGCUUCCCUGCCUCAGAGGGCCUUGGGAGCCCCAGCCCAGCAUGGGCCUGAACUGCUCCAGCAACCAUGAGCCGUGACUCUCAAACGGAAAUGGCUUUACUUACAGCAUGUGCUUUGACAGAGGGCCCUUGCCAAGCACGUGUAAGUAAGAUGCAAGGGGUGGGUUAUAAUAACCUACUGAGGGAGGCCAGAAGUGACCACUGACCACCAGGGGCUGUGGGUCAGUGGGUCACAGAGGCUGAGACAUUGGGUUUGUCUCAGGGGUGACAGCUGGCUCCAGAAGGAUCCCCUGUUUCUGUGGGAUCCUGGGGACAGCCACUGCUUUGUCAUCAGCUUUCCUCUACAGACCUUCAGAGUUCCAUCUUGCCACAUGUAGUGGGUUGAACAGUGGUCCCCCCAAAUUCAUGUCCACCCAGAACCUCAGAAUGCCAUCUUAUUUGGAAAUAGGGUCUUUGCAGAUAUAAUUAAGGAAAGGAUUGAGAUGUGAUCAUCCUGGAUUAAGGUGGUCCCUAAAUCCAAUGACAGUGUCUUUAUAAGAGACAGAAAAGACACCCAGAGACACAGAUGGAGGCUGAGAUUGGAGUUGCCCAACCAAAAGACAAAGAACUUGCCUGAGGCUGCCGACUCUGGAAGAGCUCCGCUGUCCAUGAAUCAAGCCCUCACCUGAGAGCAGGACUCUGCCGGCAUCACCCAGGCAUUUAAGCUGUAAUGUGUAAGUGUCCCCGACAGCCGCUGAGAUUGAUCCACAAGCCAAAGGGAAACGCAUUAACCAAUUUAACUGUCCGGAAAUCCAGCAUAAUGAGCAUCCGAAGGUGUCUUAUUACUGGCUCACUGUUGCUUGCCUUUACUUAUUUAACAUUUAAAUAUUUCUUAAAUUAAUUCUUGAGCUGGGAAUGUUUUCACAAACUCAGGUCUGGGGAAAGGGCUCAAUCUUUCUGUCAGUGAAGGGCUGAAAGUUUCGUAGCUUUGAACCAUAGGGUGUUUUUCAGGGCACAUCCACCCCCGCUAGGGAAGCAUUCUUACUCAGCCAUGUCAGGGAGCAGGGACCAGGAUGGUUUUGAGAUGUCACGACAGGGGCAGGGAGGCUGUGAGGGGUGUGGCUGGCUGCAGAAACAGUCCUGGUUGAUGAGUCCAGCUCUUGGUGUGAUCCAGAUCUUCACCUCCUUGGGUCUUAGUUUUUGUAAUAGAUGCUAUGAGUGUCCCAAGAACACCCCCUUGGAAGUACCGUUUCCCUGUGUGCUCAUGGUUUCCCAACUCCGAGGUUUCCCACCCUCAACACUAUUCAUGUCUGGGGCUGGAGAACCUUUGCUGUGGGCCUGUCCUGUAGACUGGAGGAUACUUAGCUGCUCUGGAUGCCAGCAGCCCCCUCUCCACAACUUAGCUCCAUGGCAAGAAUGCAGCUAUCUGAGUUCAGGGGUCAAGUGCAAUCACUCUCCUGGUACAUG